rnacentral:lncRNA from 1 species
AAACAAGCACAGCAUGUAUCAGAUGAUUAUUUCAUAUGACCCUGAUCAGAAGAACAAAAUCCCUGCAAACAGCUUUGCAAGUUGUUUUAUACAGAUUCCCCACCUGCCCCUAUUUAUCAAUGAGAGUUACUCAUUGAAACAUUUGACCACGGAAAUGUUUUGAACAUAUUUUUUUUCUUCAAAGAAGUCUGAAGUUAUGCAUAAUUCAUUAUUCUUUCUGUGUAUGGAUGAUUGUGCUUAGAUGUGCAAAGUCCAAGGAAGACUGAAAAUGGUAUCUAGCACAGACAUUGCUUUUGUAUGUGUGUGUUUGUUUGCUUUGGAAGAGUAUGGUGUGGUUCUUAAACUUGAUCUUUUUGAUUUUCAUAGCUGAAAAGAGGACAUGGUUCAAAUUGAAGUGAAAGAAGAAGGAGUUGUAGAAUACAUUGCCAGAACCAGGUAUUUUACUCACCCAGGAGUCCUACUCAGUUGCAACAGUGCCCAUGCCAGACAGACAAGAAACAUUAUGAAGAACAGCAACAGAAUAAUCAGAUGCAGCAAACCCUAAUGUGUUGUAGUGGGGAACUGCAGCUUCUUUUUCUCCAACUCUCUUACAUGAGAUUCUCAUUUGGAUUUUCUGUUGGUGUUACAAUAUUCUAAAAUGUCAUUGUUCAGUUGCCAGAGAACAGGACUUAACACUGUAGCCUUAUAUCAGGGAUAUAUGCUUAUCCUGUGUGUCUAUGCUAGUUAUAAAUUUGGAUAUUUAGGAAGGGCUUUCACUGAAAUAUGGGCUAUAUGUGGUAAUUAAUCUGGCCUCAGUGAUUAAAUUACAACCUAGCUAUAUUUUAACUUCUUGUUCUUUGGGAUUGUUCCUGGGGAAAAAAAAAAAAAAAAAAAAAUCGCUUAGGAAAUAAAAUGGACA